GUGAGGGUGCUGUGUGUGUAAGGGUGCUAUGUGUGUGUGUGUGUAUGUAUGUAUGUGUAAGGGUGAUGUGUGUGAGGGAUCUGUGUGUAAGGGUGCUGUUAGUGUGUGUAUGUGUAAGGGUGCUGUGUGUGUGUGUGUGUGUGUGAGGGUGCUGUUAGUGUGUGCUGUGUGUGUGUGACGGUGCUGUUAGUGUGUGGGUGCUGAUUGUGGGGGGAUAUUAACUAAACGGUUUAGUUAAUAUCCCCCCUCCCCUCUUACCUUUUGUAGGGAGGGGGGGCCGUGCUGCUAACAUCCCUGGAGGUCCAGUGGAGAGUGAACGCUAGCCCUGCAGGCUAGAGUUCACUCUUGCGAGAUCUGAGCAUUGCCGCAGCAACACUCCGACCUCGCGAGAGGAAUCCGGUGGAGCUGCUGGCUAGAGCUCCCCGCUCCUCUCCUGCCUCCCUCCCUGCCUGUGGGUCGGUGAGGGAGAUCUUUGAUCUCUCUCACCGGCCCACGGAGGGAGGCACAUAGUGCGGGCUGCGGGGAUAAGGGUGUGCCCAGGCACACCCGGCACACCCAGUGCGCACGCCUAUGGGUGAGACCUCACUUGGAGUAUUGUACGCAGUACUGGAGACCGUAUCUCCAGAAGGAUAUUGAUACUUUAGAGAGAGUUCAGAGAAGGGCUACUAAACUGGUUCAUGGAUUGUAGGAUAAUACUUACAAGGAAAUGUUCAAGGAACUUAACAUGUAUAGCUUGG